rnacentral:pre_miRNA from 1 species
AAUAAACGAAAUUCUAAGUUUUUGAUAGAAUUUUUGACUCUUCGUCUUACUUAAAUUUUUUUAUGAUUAAUAUUUUUAUUGUUAUUAUAUAAUAAAAUAUAAAUAGUACUUUACGUGUGACAAUUUUUUUAAAUUUUUUAAUAAAUUUUUUAAAUAAGACAGAUAGUUAAACGCUCGACAAAAAAAACUCAAAAAUUCAUUUAUU